rnacentral:rRNA from 1 species
UACGUAGGGUGCAAGCGUUAAUCGGAAUUACUGGGCGUAAAGCGCGCGUAGGUGGUUUGUUAAGUUGAAUGUGAAAUCCCCCGGGCUCAACCUGGGAACUGCAUGCAAAACUGGCAAGCUAGAGUAUGGUAGAGGGUGGUGGAAUUUCCUGUGUAGCGGUGAAAUGCGUAGAUAUAGGAAGGAACACCAGUGGCGAAGGCGACCACCUGGACUGAUACUGACACUGAGGUGCGAAAAGCGUGGGGGAGCAAACAGG